AGUGAACGCUGGCGGUAGGCCUAACACAUGCAAGUCGAACGGCAGCACAGUAAGAGCUUGCUCUUACGGGUGGCGAGUGGCGGACGGGUGAGGAAUACAUCGGAAUCUACUUUUUCUUGGGGGAUAACGUAGGGAAACUUACGCUAAUACCGCAUACGACCUACGGGUGAAAGCAGGGGUUCUUCGGACCUUGCGCGAUUGAAUUAGCCGAUGUCGGAUUAGCUAGUUGGCGGGGUAAAGGCCCACCAAGGCGACGAUCCGUAGCUGGUCUGAGAGGAUGAUCAGCCACACUGGAACUGAGACACGGUCCAGACUCCUACGGGAGGCAGCAGUGGGGAAUAUUGGACAAUGGGCGCAAGCCUGAUCCAGCCAUACCGCGUGGGUGAAGAAGGCCUUCGGGUUGUAAAGCCCUUUUGUUGGGAAAGAAAAGCAGCAGGUUAAUACCCCGCUGUUCUGACGGUACCCAAAGAAUAAGCACCGGCUAACUUCGUG
rnacentral:rRNA from 1 species